CUCUCGUCCAGCAGUGUAUGAUGGGAAAAUUGUGUGUGUUGGGCAGUUCCCCAUGUAGUCCCCUACUGUACAACCCCUGAAAUGUCAGUAGGGAAACCCCUUGCAUGGGGAAUCCCAUAAAUACCGUGACCUGCCAUUAAACCUCAGUUGACCUCCAAGCUAUGUGUCGUCUAGUUCUUGGGAGGAAGGGAUUGUAACUACGCUACCUGGAUUUUACCUGCUUUGUGCCUGUUUGUUCCUG